CAAGGAAUAGUUUAUUAAAAUAUUAAUUUUGGAGAUUAAUGAUAGGGGUAAAACCUUUUCCUUGA
rnacentral:tRNA from 1 species